rnacentral:rRNA from 1 species
AGCUCCAAUAGCGUAUACUAAAGUUGUUGCAGUUAAAAGCUCGUAGUUGAAUUUCUGGAUGCGAAAGAUGGUCGGCACCUCACGGUGUCUGCACCUAUCAUUCGCGUUCAUCCUCGGGAGGAACGUGUGGUCUCUUCAGUGAGCCCGCUCGGGAAUCUCGUCAUUUACUGUGAGCAAAAUAGAGUGUUCAAAGCAGGCUUAUGCCGUUGAAUAUAUUAGCAUGGAAUAAUAAGAUACGACUUUGGUCUAUUUUGUUGGUUUGCAUUCCAAA